CUGCUGCCUUCCGUAGGAGUCUGGUCCGUGUCUCAGUACCAGUGUGGGGGACCUUCCUCUCAGAACCCCUACGCAUCGUCGGUUAGGUGGGCCGUUACCCCGCCUACUGCCUAAUGCGCCGCAUGCCCAUCUAUCAGCGGAUUGCUCCUUUCCCUAUUGUACCAUGUGGUACUUAGGCAUAUGCGGUAUUAGCAGUCAUUUCUAACUGUUGUUCCCCUCUGAUAGACAGGUUGCUUACGUGUUACUCACCA
rnacentral:rRNA from 1 species